AUUGAACGCUGGCGGCAGGCCUAACACAUGCAAGUCGAGCGAGUGGCGGACGGGUGAGUAAUGUAUGGGGAUAUGCCUGAUGGAGGGGGAUAACUACUGGAAACGGUAGCUAAUACCGCAUACCAUCAGAUGUACCCAUAUGGGAUGAGCUGGUAGGUGAGGUAACGGCUCACCUAGGAGACGAUCCCUAGCUGGUCUGAGAGGAUGAUCAGCCACACUGGGCCUGAGACACGGCCCAGACUCCUACGGGAGGCAGCAGUGGGGAAUAUUGCACAAUGGGCGCAAGCCUGAUGCAGCCAUGCCGCGUGUAUGAAGAAGGCCUUCGGGUUGUAAAGUACUUUCAGUCGGGAGGCGUUACCGACAGAAGAAGCACCGGCUAACUCCGUGACAGCAGCCGCGGUAAUAC
rnacentral:rRNA from 1 species